rnacentral:lncRNA from 1 species
AGAUUUGACUUCAGGAACUAUCUUGCAAAAAUCUAAUGAAGUUUGUGUUUAAUGCAGCAUCUGAUUUUGAUUUAUUCAACAAAUUGGGAUAAGCUCUGGAUACUUAGGAUCACUUUUUAGCUUGUUGAGCAGCUGUGGUAUCUAGUUAAUGGGAUUUUAUGGAACAUAAAGCGUGUGUAUGCGGUCUUUCGUCUACUGUUCAAGAGAAGAUUGCUCAAAUCUGGGGUUGGUAAAGAGUAAACAUCAAGAGACAGAAUGUGAUAAGUUGGGAUCAAGGUUAGAAAAUUAUUUCACUUUUUAAAAGCUACGUUUUUAAAGGCUAAAGGAAAACUGUACAGAUGUAAUAACAGAUAGUGCAUUAUAAUGUAUGGUAAUGAAUCAUAACAUUAUAGAAACAUAGAAAAUAGCAGCAUAGAAAGAUUGCAACAUUGAAACAAAAGUUGAUGGUACACCUAAAUGGCAAAGAUAAUGAUCAAGUUGAUUUGAAUUUAAAGUUUAAAUCUAGUAGUCAGCCUAGAUUAAAGUUAGAUAAGAAAUC